rnacentral:rRNA from 1 species
GUGGGGAAUAUUGGACAAUGGGCGCAAGCCUGAUCCAGCCAUGCCGCGUGAGUGAUGAAGGCCUUAGGGUUGUAAAGCUCUUUUGUCCGGGAAGAUAAUGACUGUACCGGAAGAAUAAGCCCCGGCUAACUUCGUGCCAGCAGCCGCGGUAAUACGAAGGGGGCUAGCGUUGCCCGGAAUCACUGGGCGUAAAGGGCGCGUAGGCGGACUCUUAAGUCGGGGGUGAAAGCCAAGGGCUCAACCCUGGAAUAGCCUUCGAUACUGAUAGUCUUGAGUUCGUAAGAGGUUGGUGGAAUUGCGAGUGUAGAGGUGAAAUUCGUAGAUAUUCGCAAGAACACCAGUGGCGAAGGCGGCCAACUGGGCCGAUACUGACGCUGAGGCGCGAAAGCGUGGGGAGCAAACAGGAUUAGAAACCCGGGUAGUCC